rnacentral:lncRNA from 1 species
AAUACCAGACUCUUCUACCUUGUUUGAUCCUGUGAUGUCGCUUAUUCUCUAUACCAAGUGAAUUCUGAAUGGUCUCAUUACUGGUUUGACCCGAAACAUGGGUGGCUACCUACAGUCUCUGGUUAUGGAGGGGUACUCUCAUGAAGACUACCUGCAGAAAUUCCUGUAAAGAACCUAGCUAGAGGUUGUCAUAAUGGAAAUCAGAGUACAGUGAAGAGAAAGAAAUUAGAAUAAUCUAGCUAAAAGGAUUAAAUAUAAAUGAGGGGGAGAUGAAUAUUGACUUUAUUUUUACCAGACGUUUGAAUUCCGUCCCUCUCUGACCCUUGACUUAAAGAUGUCUUGCCACAUCUGGUCUUUAUUCUAACAUAAUACAAUAAACUGGAGCUCCUGCCGCAUCCCCCUCCUCUAAAAAUGCUGGAAGUGUAAGAGCAUAUAAGCUGCGUGACAUAAGGGAAAAGGCUGAAUCAGAACUCACUUACAUGUGUUUUGAUCCGUCUUAGUGACACAACUCAAGUGUUUACAAUAACCGGCUCUGACUGCUGAUUCCACCAUGAUUUGGUACCAUGACGAGGAGAAAUUAUUUUUCUGGCAGUUCGUUUGCCACGAUGACCUGAUAUACAGAUGACCGUAGUAUAAUUAAAAUUAAUUAUAAUUUUAACAAGAACCUGCCCUGUUGACAGAUUCCAUUGUGCCGCAGUUUUUUAACAUACAUUAUGAUGAGGAUGAAAGAACUGCAAACUCGAGCGGUUCUUUUGUUUCUGCGCCUCCUUUUACUUGAAAAGCUUUCAGAAGGCUUUUGAGAGAUGACACAGUUCUCAUAGCAACAUUAUGUGAUUCUCUUCUUCUGCCAAGAAACUCAUAGCUGAAAUAUGGAACAAAACAAAUGUCUAACCUGAUCUUGGUUUUGGAUUAUGGAAGGCAAAGCAUUUUCUAUAUCAAAGUUGCAUAUUUCAUUUUUUUGUCCAUCUCAGAAAUCGAAUCGGCAUUUUAUAUUCUAUUUCUAAUUAGUUGCAGUGAAGCAAAGCCAUAAUCCUACUUUCUUUAUCAGUACAAACCUUCACCAUUUCUCCCGCAUAUGCUUUCGCCAUAGUUUUUCGGCAACGAGUUUGCUUAAUUCAUUCUCCCCUACCUCUAGUCCAUCUUGCGCAUGAUUGACAGAAUGGUCUUUUUUUUUUUUUUUUUUUAUGGCCAUACCCGCAGCAUAUGGAAGUUCCUAGGCUAGAGGUCUAAUUGAAACUGCAGCUGCCAGCCUACACCACAGCCGCAGCCACAGCCACAGCCACAGCAACACGGGAUCCGAGCUGCAUCUGCCACCUACACUGCAGCUCAUGGCAACUCCAGCUGUGGAUCCUUAACCAGAGCAGAGUGGGGCCAAGGAUCAAACCUGCAUCCUCACAGAUGCUAGUCAGGUUCAUUACUGCUGAGCCACAUGGGAACUCCCAGAGUGGUCUUUUUAAAACACAAAUUUGUUUUGUCAUCCCUCUGCUCAAAAUUCUUAACUAGACUCCCUUCUUUACAAUAUAGCAAACCCAACUCCUUAGCAUGAUGGAGAAGGAUCUCUGCAACCUCUCUUCUCACCAUUUUUAGCAUCCUUACCCACCAUUUCCUCUAGAGGCCUUUUGUAAUCCAGGAAUUUGGAACUUGUCACAGUUCGGUGCUUUGGCAUAAUCAUAUGGCAUAGAUGAGCUCACUCAAGACUCAGCUUGCAUUUUACCUUCUGUGGCACUCUGACUUCUCAGUGUUAAAUAGUUCAUCCUUGCUCUGUAGUCUUUUGAAACUUCUACUAAAAUAACAUCCCAUUUCAAUAGUUCAAUUUAUGUAUCCACUGCCCCACAACUGAAUUUCUCUCUCUUUGUAGUCUCAGUGUUCAGCUAGCACAUAAUAGGACUUCCAUAAAUGUUUUUGAAUGAAAGAAGGGAAUAUAGAGCCCAGACUUCUCUGUAUUUCUAAACCAUCACAAGUGAAUGCUUUUGACUUCCCCAAGAGCCCACACGAAGGAUGUGUGUGUUUAGGAAGGAGCACGCAGGCGCUCUGGGAGAACCAAUAACACAGAACAGCAGGGAAGAGCCAUUGCUUUGGGAAGGAUAAGCAUCUGUUAGCUGUUGAGCAGAAAUGGUUACCAAAGCUGAAUUCUUGUUCUUAAAAUCGAGGCUUAUAAAUACAAUUUUCACAUAAGUGCUGAAUUCUUUUUAGGCUAUGCCCUCAAGAUGCCCUAAUGGUCUUUCUCCUUGGCAGAUAGUCCAAUGUAUACCAUCUACAUAAACACCGGCUCAUUACCAACACACAGGGAUGGACUUGAGAAAGAGUUUUUAAAAAAAUACAGUUAUGAAGGUGAAAUUUUCUGAAAAUAUUUUUCAACCAGAGACAGAGACUGAUUUUGUGUGGUUUCAGGUCAUUUUAUAGUCAGUGAUGAUUUCAUUUUCAUUAUGCAAAUGUAAGAUGGCAUGUUUGUCACUAUUAAUCACUGCAUAUAGAACAUAAAAAGUAUUACCUAUGUGUCUGUUUUUCUUUUCUGAAUCUAUAAAGCCUUUCUACCCUGUCUCCAAAUCAUGAUAAAAGGCAACACAAAAAACCCCUUAAAGGUAAUGAUUUUAAAAUAAGCUCAAUAUUGGCAGGUAAUGAAAUUAAAUGGCCUCUUACUUCACUCACUUAAUAGACAUUUUUCUACCUGCUCUACACUUGGCACUCAGUUAGUGCUGGGGAUACAAACAACAUAAGACAUAGCUCUUGACUGAUAGAGUUCAAGUUCAUUUUCAUCGUUAUUUCCCUACAGUCUGUUUAAGAAACUGAGAAGACAUGUUUUUAAACCAAGUAUUAUUUCUCAGGAUUUUUUUUCAAGACGUGGUCACCUUCCACUCAAAACACUAACAGAAUUCUGUGUCGUAAAGACGUCAUCCCAUGUUUAUGGGCACAGUUUUUGUACUUUCCAGUCAACCACAAAUACUGAGUGCUACAUGUCAAGUCCAUCUUUCAUCAAUCCUAUAGAAUUCCAUUUCCACAACCACAGGUGCUAUGUGGAAUCCAAGUGACUAAUGAAUUAGUAAGACACAAGUUAAAUUUCCAGUCCACCAUGGGAUGGCAUAUAUCCUUACUAAUGACACCUACACCAACAUAUGAGCUAUGCCUUGGGAACCUUCAGCAAAGAGAAUACGUUCUAACACAAUGCUUUCUGGUGUACUUCAAAGGCUCCAUGUGAAGUUAGGAGUUGGUGUUUCCACUUCGAUUAUUUUUUAUGGGGAGCAGAGAGUCAUGAUAUUUAACAGGAGCAUAUGUCUCUAAGCAUAUAGUAAAUAUACGACUGGUAUUUGGGGUGCCACAAUGCACUGAUACAUAGAUGAAAAAAACCAAAAAUAUUUGAGUUAUAAAAAAUUCUCUGAGUAUUUCCUGAGGGUUAGGCAAUAGGGUUCCUUUAUAAGACAGAAAAAACUACUGUCUGCAUGCAAAAAAUCUUCCUUGUGUGUACAUUUGCAUUUUGAUAGGCAUAUUUUGAAGUCACCGUUUCCCAUCAGUAUGAAGUAUCAACCAUCUCUAUGUUCUCUAGCAAAGGAAAAUUCUUAGUUUGAUACAGCUUUCCUCUGUGUUUGAUGUUGGGAAAUGUCCGCAAAGAAGGAGGCUCGGAAAGCUGGACACUUGAACCUUAAAUGCAGCAUAGUCAGCUUACCUUUCACUAAAAGAGAAUCCGUCAUUAUUUGCCUCCUAUUUAUCCUCAUGUUGAAAACCUAAAUGUGUAGUUCCUUUUGUCCCCGGCAUCCCAGAAGAUAUAGCUUCAGUCUAGCCUUUGCCAUAUUAUUUAUAGCUAAGAAUUUGCUACAUUUUGGUAGUCUGUUUUGAAACUUGUAUCUUAAAGAUGGAGAUCAUGUCUAUUUAUUACACAGUGGGCUCUGUUUGCUGCAGAAAAGAGUGAAACUUUUAAACUGCUUAGCACACACUUGCCAGUGAAAUAUACCUGACAGAGCAGAGGUUCUAACUUUGGCUCUACUGACUUUUAAUAAUGGUAAGAAACCGUGACUUUUGUUUGUUUACAUGCUGUUUACAAUGGCAUCAUUUUUUAAAUAUAUACAACAAUUGAGAUAUUUAUUGCAUACUAUUUUAAAGAUGUUUUAUGUGUUUUCACCUUUGGAAUAUAUUGUUACUGUUCCUUACACCGAUACUUUGGGUGGCUUUGUUAAUGUACCUACUAAUUUUUAUGACUACUAAGUGACCAGUUUUCCGUGCCUUUUAUUGUGGGAUGCAUGACUAUGUAUUUAUUGUAUGGAAGUCACGGAUGCGUGUAUUUUUGUACUUUGCCGAGAGUAAUGGUUGAUCUCGAUGGACGUGAUGAUGAGAGAUGCCUUUCCCAGGGGGCACUACCUUGAGAUCGUCCUUCUCAAAUAAAAAGAAUGCAUUUG